rnacentral:rRNA from 1 species
UGAGGAACAUGACCUUCGGCGGGGGAUAGCCGGCCCAACGGCCGGGUAAUACCGCGUACGACCUUUUGGGGACAUCCCCGACUGGUGAAAGCAGCAAUGCGCCGAUGGAGUGCCUCGCGGCCUAUCAGCUAGUUGGUGGGGUAACGGCUCACCAAGGCGACGACGGGUAGCUGGUCUGAGAGGAUGGCCAGCCACAUUGGGACUGAGACACGGCCCAGACUCCGUACGGGAGCAGCAGG